rnacentral:rRNA from 1 species
UGCCAGCCGCCGCGGUAAUACGGAGGGGGUUAGCGUUGUUCGGAAUUACUGGGCGUAAAGCGCGCGUAGGCGGUUCGUUAAGUCUGAUGUGAAAGCCCGGGGCUCAACCCCGGAACUGCCUCUAAUACUGCUAGUCUUGAGUUCGAGAGAGGUGAGUGGAAUUCCGAGUGUAGAGGUGAAAUUCGUAGAUAUUCGGAGGAACACCAGUGGCGAAGGCGGCUCACUGGCUCGAUACUGACGCUGAGGUGCGAAAGCGUGGGGAGCAAACAGGAUUAGAUA